UACGAAGGGGGCUAGCGUUGCUCGGAAUCACUGGGCGUAAAGGGUGCGUAGGCGGGUCUUAAGUCAGGGGUGAAAUCCUGGAGCUCAACUCCAGAACUGCCUUUGAUACUGAGGAUCUUGAGUAUGGGAGAGGUGAGUGGAACUGCGAGUGUAGAGGUGAAAUUCGUAGAUAUUCGCAAAGAACACCAGUGGCGAAGGCGGCUCACUGGCCCAUUACUGGACGCUGAGGCACGAAGCGUGGGGAGCAAACAGG
rnacentral:rRNA from 1 species